rnacentral:sRNA from 1 species
AAUGACGGAAGGAAAU